rnacentral:rRNA from 1 species
AUGGCUGACACAUGCGGAGAACAUCAGCUGUCGGAAGCAUGUCCAUUUGAGCAGUGUGGACUUCUUCCUCAAGGAGUAAAGGAGAAGACACAACAAUUUCAGCAAUAUAGGAAGUGCUAUGAGCUUCUACUUGUUUCUUCAUUAUCAUUGCACAUGGUUGAGUAUUUUGCAAAUUGGAUGACUCAUCUGCAACUUCUUUGGCACGUUGGGCAUCAUUUUAUGGAAGCGACUUUCUGGUGGACGCCGGCUCGUGUGGACUGUAUCCUAGCCAUAGAACGAUUCCUCGAGAUGCUCAAACAUCACUUCCCUGUCCCCCAUACUAGUUUCCUAGGAGCAGGGUGUAGGUGGCAUAGGCGUACAAGCUUGGCACAAGUGUAUCCUCGCGUGGAUCUGUACGUGCACAUGCGCAGGGAAGAAGGAGUUGGUGACCUGCCGAUGUACUGCUAG